CAUCCACUUUUCUUUGAAGUUGAACCUUCAAAGGUUUGGGGGCGGGGUUUAAGCUACUCUCUGACACAGCUGCAUAUUUAAAUGGCAUAAACUAUUAAUUUAAAUGGACUACUUGCACAAUCACUUCCGCGGUCCAUGUAGUCCUGCCCCAGUGCUUCCGGUGUGGUUAAACCAUGGCGGCGUUCUACACUCGCUGUCUACAAGAGCUCCCAAAAUUGAACAUCACUGAUGUUCAUCGGAUUUGCAGAGUGACGACUACCCCCGCCAGCAAAUUAGAUAAAGGAUUUAAGUUAUAUGCUGCAUCAUAUAUACACAACUACGAAGUGUCCAAUAAAGACAGGUUGUCAGGGGAGGUCGGUGUGAGAGCCCUGUGCUACAGGUCAAUGAGGAAGAGUGAGGCACCACACAGACUAAGUAUUAAGCUUCUGGAUUCAUCGCCGGUGAUACUGACACAUAGCCAGUGCUCCUGUGUGGCAGGCGCUGUUAUGUGCAAUCACACAGUGGCACUGCUCUUCCAAACAGCACACUACUCACAACUCAGUGCCAGUUGUCC
ensembl:lncRNA